AGAGUUUGAUCCUGGCUCAGGACGAACGCUGGCGGCAUGCCUAAUACAUGCAAGUCGAACGAGCUUCCGUUGAAUGACGUGCUUGCACUGAUUCUAACAAUGAAGCGAGUGGCGAACUGGUGAGUAACACGUGGGAAAUCUGCCCAGAAGCAGGGGAUAACACUUGGAAACAGGUGCUAAUACCGUAUAACAACAAAAUCCGCAUGGAUUUUGUUUGAAAGGUGGCUUCGGCUAUCACUUCUGGAUGAUCCCGCGGCGUAUUAGUUAGUUGGUGAGGUAGAGGCCCACCAAGACGAUGAUACGUAGCCGACCUGAGAGGGUAAUCGGCCACAUUGGGACUGAGACACGGCCCAAACUCCUACGGGAGGCAGCAGUAGGGAAUCUUCCACAAUGGACGAAAGUCUGAUGGAGCAAUGCCGCGUGAGUGAAGAAGGGUUUCGGCUCGUAAAACUCUGUUGUUAAAGAAGAACACCUUUGAGAGUAACUGUUCAAGGGUUGACGGUAUUUAACCAGAAAGCCACGGCUAACUACGUGCCAGCAGCCGCGGUAAUACGUAGGUGGCAAGCGUUGUCCGGAUUUAUUGGGCGUAAAGCGAGCGCAGGCGGUUUUUUAAGUCUGAUGUGAAAGCCUUCGGCUUAACCGGAGAAGUGCAUCGGAAACUGGGAGACUUGAGUGCAGAAGAGGACAGUGGAACUCCAUGUGUAGCGGUGGAAUGCGUAGAUAUAUGGAAGAACACCAGUGGCGAAGGCGGCUGUCUAGUCUGUAACUGACGCUGAGGCUCGAAAGCAUGGGUAGCGAACAGGAUUAGAUACCCUGGUAGUCCAUGCCGUAAACGAUGAGUGCUAAGUGUUGGAGGGUUUCCGCCCUUCAGUGCUGCAGCU
rnacentral:rRNA from 1 species